AUGGGGCAGUGGGCUGCUGAGAGAACCCAGGCGAGAGCUCCCAGGACCUCACGGCCACGUCUGCGUCCCCUAGACGAUAGCAGCAGUGACAGCCACAGUGAGAGCAGCAUGAGCCGCAGGGCCGCAGAGUCGCCGCCGCGCUCCGCCCACUCCUUCUCCAACGGAGAGCGGAACCAGGACCACCGGAGGGGCAGGAGCCGGGACCUGGAGGCCCGUGACCGCUGGCCGUACGCCAGGACCCCCAGAAGCAGAUUUCCUCAGCGGGACCUUUCCCUUCCCCUGAUGGAGAGAAAGGCGUUUGCGAAGGGAAGGGAGCACAAACACAGAGACUCCGCGGUGGGCUACGAGGCGAGGUCCCAGGACACAGUGUCGUACCAGGACAUGGGGGACCUCGCCGAGGACCGGAAGCUGCAGAACCCGAUUCAGGACAACAUGGAGAACUACCGGAAGCUGCUCUCGCUGGGGGUUCAGCUUGCUGAAGACGAUGGCCACUCGCACAUGACCCAGGGCCACUCGUCGAGGUCAAGGAGAAGCGCCUACCCGAGCACCAGCCGAGGUCUGAAGACGCUGCCCGAAACCAAAAAGCCGGCGCAUCGGCGCGGGAUCUGUGAGGACGAGUCCUCGCACGGGGUGAUCAUGGAGAAGUUCAUCAAAGACGUGGCGCGCAGCUCCAGGUCGGGAAGGGCCAGGGAGCCCAGCGAUCGGCCGCAGAGGCUCCCCCGCAGGCCGGACGGUGGCUGGAAGGAGGUGUCGGUUAGCAAGAGGGAGGCGGUGAUCCAGGAGCGGGCUUGCGAGGGCGGGGCCCUGGGGGGAGGGGGCUUUCCGUGUAACGCAAGCCUGGUUUCCAAGAAGAGAGUUCUCGAAAGAAAGCGGCGCUAUCCCUUUGACGCGGACGGGAAGGGCUCCGUGCACGAUCAGAGGGGCUGUGCGAGGAAGCGGCCCUUCGAGUGCGGUGAGGUGAGAAAGGCCGCGAGCGUGAGCAGCCUCAGCGCGCCGCCCCUGCCGGGCUCGCCGCCGCUGGUCCUCGGGGCGAUGCCCUACGUGUGUGACGAGUGCGGGCGGUCCUUCGGCGUGAUUUCCGAGUUUGUCGAGCAUCAGAUCAUGCACACCAGGGAGAGCCUGUACGAGUACGGCGAGUCCUUCAUCCACAGCGUGGCCAUCAGCGAGGUGCAGAGAAGCCAGGCGGGCGGGAAGCGCUUCGAGUGCAAGGAGUGCGGUGAAACCUUCAACCGGAGCGCUGCUCUGGCCGAGCACCGCAAGACCCACGCUCGGGAGAAUCUGGCUGAGGGUCAGGCCGAGGUGUGCGAGGAGCCCUUCCUGCCCAGCCCGACCUUCAGCGAGCUCCAGAAGAUCUACGGGAAGGAGAAGUUCUACGAGUGCAAGGUGUGCAAGGAAACCUUCCUCCACAGCUCGGCGCUGGUGGACCACCAGAAGACCCACGGCCGGGAGGCCCGAGCCGGCGAGCGGGCGGAUGCCUUUCAGCCCAGCCCGGCGCCCAAAGAGCUGCCCCGGCUGUACGGCCGAGAGAAGCUGUACGAGUGCAGGGUGUGUGGCGAGACCUUCCACCACAGCGCCGCCCUGAGGGAGCACCAGCAGGUCCACGCCCGGGGCCACCCGCCGGAAAGCCGGGGCAGAGCCUGCGAGGAGACCUUCGUGCCCGGCCAGUCCCUGAGGAGACGCCAGAAGACGUACCCGAAAGAGAAGCUCUACGACUUUGCAGCCGCCGGGGAGGCCUUCAGGCAGGGCUCCCACCUCCUCGAGCCGCAGAAGAUCCGCUCUCGGAGGGAGCUCUUCGAAGGCCGGGGGUACGACAAGUCUGCCGUGCACGGCGUGUCCUUCCCCGAGUCGCAGAAGAGUCACACCAUAGCCAGACCCCCCGAGAACGAGGAGGACGAGAGGGCCUUCACCGUCAGCUGCAGCCCCGCCAGCAGCCGGGAGGCCGCGGCCGGCGAGAGGUCUGUUCUUCGCAGCUCGGCCUUUGCCGCGGCUCAGAGAAGCCACAGCGCCGCGGGGCCCAGCAGGCCGCGGGGCUUCGCGGAGUCGACUGUCCACAGCUCAGGGGUCAUCUCGCGGCGGCAGGUGCCGGCUGGAGAGAGCAGCUUGGAGAGGAGGAGGCUCGAGAGCUCCGUCAUCCACAGCCUGGCUGCGCUCAAGCCUCCCAGAGGUCGCGGGGGCAGGGAGCUGCUCGGAGGCGGCGAGAAGGGGGCGCCCUCCACCUACCUCGCGGGCCUGCGUGAGCAGCAGAGAGCUCCCGCCAGGGAGGGCCCUCACGAGGGCGGCGCGGAGGACAUCUCCCAGGGCUCCGGUGCCCGCAGCGCGUCCCAGGCCGAAGCACAGCCUUCCGGAGAGGGUCCCAGCGGUGUCAAGACGGCCGGCGAGGCCUCUGUUCCCGGCUCCGGCGUGCGCGAGCACCAGAAGGCUCGCGCCAAGAAGAAGAACAUUGAGCACAGGAACUACGACGCCUCCGUGACCCACUCCCUGCGCUUUGGUCAGCCUCUCACGUUUCGCCCUAGAGAGAAAUUUUAUGAAUGUCCAGAGUGUGGCGAGUCCUUUGCGCGUAGCUCCGACCUCACGGAGCAUCAGAAGAUUCACGACAGAAAGAAGCCCUCUGGAGGGAAAAACUACAUUCGGUCUGUCAUCCGCAGCUUAGCUUCUGCUGACCCUCAGACCAGUUACGCAGGCUGGGCAGCUCAGGCCAGUUUCUGUAAGGAGUGUGGGGAGUACUUCGCCACCCUUGAGGACCUGGGUGCCCAUCAGAAAAUCUAUGCCCGAGAGAAGCUCCACGUGGGGAAGCUGUUCGGCGGCUCCGUUGUGCAGAGCGCAGGCGGCGCGGGGCCGCAGCAGGACGAGCUGGACGAGCUGGACGAGGCCGAAGACUCCAUCUACGGCUGCAAGGACUGCGGGCUGGGCUUCGCGGACCGCGCAGACCUGAGGGACCACCAGAAGGUGCACGGCCGCGAGUACCUCAUCGACAGCCGCGAGUACACGCACUCGGUGGUGCACACGCACUCGGUGAGCGAGUACCAAAAGGACUACACGGGCGAGCAGCUCUACGAGUGCCCCGCCUGCGGCGAGUCGUUCGUGCACAGCUCCUUCCUCUUCGAGCAUCAGAAAGUCCACGAGCAAGACCAGUUUUACGGCCAGCGAAGGUACGAGGAGCCCUUCCUGCAGCCCCUGGUCAUCAGCCCGCGGGGGCCGCGGGCCCCGCAGAAGAGCCCUUCCUUCCGCAGCCAGGCCGAUCUCCGCGAGCACAUGCGCACCCACGAGAAGGAGGAGCCCUACGACUACGGGGCCACCUUCGUGCACACGUCCUUCCUCACGGAGCCCCCCAAGAGGGACUCGCCCUUCUACGAGUGCAAGGACUGUGGCAAGUCGUUCAUCCACAACACGGUCCUCACCAAGCACCAGAAGCUCCACCUUGAGGAGGAGGAGGCGGCCGCCGCCGCGGCCCAGGAAGUGGAAGCCAACGUCCUGGUCCCGCGGGAGGUUUUGCGCAUCCAGGGCUCCAACGUGGAGGCCGCGGAGCCCGAGGUAGAGGCCGCCGAGCCGGAGGUGGAGGCCGCCGAGCCGAACGUGGAGGCCGCCGAGCCCAACGGGGAGGCCGAGGGGCCUGAGGGCGAGGCCGCGGAGCCCAACGGCGAGGCCGAGCAGCCCAACGCGGAGGCGGAGCAGCCCAACGGCGACGCCGACGAGCCGGAUGGUGCGGGCAUCGAAGACCCGGAGGAGAGGGCGGAAGAGCCCGAGGCAGACGCGGACGAGCCAGACGGCCUCGGGGUGGAGGACCCGGAGGAGGAGGGCGAGGACCAGGAGAUCCAGGUGGAGGCACCCUACUACGGCUGCGGGGAGUGUGCGGAGACCUUCACCUCCAGCUCGGCCAACGGCGAGCACCUGAAGAGCCACGCCAGGGUGAUGACCUUCGAGCCCGGCAGCGUCUGCGGGGAGAACUCCCAUCCCACCGAGCACGCCAGCACCAGCGGCAGCGGCAGGGCCGACGACAAGUACUUCAAGUGCGACGUCUGCGGCCAGGUCUUCAGCGACCGCCUGUCCCUGGCCAGGCACCAGAACACCCACACGGGUUGA
ensembl:lncRNA